UUAAAUGAAGUUGACGGGGCCCGCACAGCGGUGGAGCAUGUGGUUUAAUUCGACGCAACGCGAAAACCUUACCUGGGCUUGACAUGCUGGUAGUAGUGAACCGAAAGGGAAACGAUCCUGAGCAAUCAGGAAGCCAACACAGGUGCUGCAUGGCUGUCGUCAGCUCGUGUCGUGAGAUGUUGGGUUAAGUCCCGUAACGAGCGCAACCCCUACCUUUAUUUGCCAUCAUUUAGUUGGGCACUCUAAAGGAACCGCCUCGGUCAACGGGAGGAAGGUGGGGAUGACGUCAAGUCCUCAUGGCCUUUAUGCCCAGGGCUACACACGUGCUACAAUGGCCAGUACAAAGGGCUGCAAACCCGCGAGGGUCAGCAAAUCCCAAAAACCUGGCCUCAGUUCGGAUUGGAGUCUGCAACCCGACUCCAUGAAGUUGGAAUCGCUAGUAAUCGCAGAUCAGCGUGCUGCGGUGAAUACGUUCCCGGGCCUU
rnacentral:rRNA from 1 species